rnacentral:piRNA from 1 species
UAGCCCAAGAAAAAUGAAAGCAUAUGUUUG